CAGCCGCCGCGGUAAUACGGAGGGUGCAAGCGUUAAUCGGAAUUACUGGGCGUAAAGCGCACGUAGGCGGUUUGUUAAGUCAGAUGUGAAAUCCCCGAGCUUAACUUGGGAACUGCAUUUGAAACUGGCAAGCUAGAGUCUUGUAGAGGGGGGUAGAAUUCCCGGUGUAGCGGUGAAAUGCGUAGAGAUCGGGAGGAACAUCAGUGGCGAAGGCGGCCAUCUGGGACAACACUGACGCUGAGGCACGAAAGCGUGGGGAGCAAACAGGAUUAGAUACCCCUGUAGUCCCUGUCUCUUAUAA
rnacentral:rRNA from 1 species